UUUGUGCACUUAAUCAAAUGUGGGAACCACAUGAAGAAUAUGCUUCAUUGUGGGAAUUAAACCGCCAAGGAUAAAGUUUCUUGGCACCAAAGACAGAAUAUACCAUUAAAGUAUUCCAGUCUCAUAGGCACAAACAAAUCUUAUUCAACACAAAUAAAACAGAUACAAAAAUUUUUCUUGUCAUCAGCAGAGAGAGAACUGCAUUAACAUUUCAACCAACAUUACUGAUGAUGAAUCAUGAUUUAACAAGGAGCUUAUAGAUGAAAACUCUUUUGCUGCUUCAGCCCAACAUGCAUGGAACAGUUUGUCAUGUUCAUCUGAUGGCAAAAGAUGUCCAUCCAACAUGAAAAUCAAGGCUAUUUUGAUUGUCUUGUUGAAUAGCCUUCCAGUGAUCAACAAAAUCGGAAGCUUUUUCGCCUUUUCUUCUGCAUCAUCAUCACAUGGAGAAUAAUCUGCAGAAACUUUUUCAUGGUCUUCCAAAUUGUGAUCAAACUGGCAAUUAUCAUUGAUCACCCUUAUACCAUCAAUGAUUUGGUGGUUGCAAACCAAAUGAACGUCUCUAUCUUUGACAAGGAAUGAUCCUCUACUCUCCUCAACCUCAGUGUCAGCCAUUGCAGCCGAGAGAAAAGCUUGUCCUGGGAUAGAACUCCAUAUAGGCCUUGUUGGUUCGGAAAGGUGUGAAAUUGAAAGGUGCACACCAUUGUUUGGGAAGCAAGAAAGCUUGAAAUCAUUGCCAAUUGGGAAGAACAAGUUGUGGUCUGAAGUAGGCACUGUCUUGGCGUUGAUGAAGAGAGAGCCUUUG